GGCCGGCAUACAUAGUAAUGAAACUGGCUUUGUAUGUGGCGGCACUGUCAUUCACAGACGCUUUGUAUUAACCGCCGCUCACUGCUUAAUAGACAGACAAGAAGAAAACCUAAUUGUGAAGCUGGGAGCCUACGACAUACGGCGUCCAACAUUGGUGUAUAGUGUCAGCAAUAAGAUUAUUCACAAUGAAUUCGAACUAAUCCAAAAAAUUCAUAAUAUUGGCCUUCUCCAACUAUCACGUGAUAUUGAGUUUAGUAGGCAUGUCUAUCCGAUCUGCAUUAUUCGGAAUCUGGAAGCUAAGAGAAAAGUCGAAAGUGCUAACACAUUCGAUACCUAUGGAUGGGGAAGAACAAAUAAGAGGCAACUAAGCAACAUCCUUCAGAAAGUCACCGUCGAUCGAUACGAUCGCAGUAAUUGCGAAAGUGUAUUCUUUUCACUUCAUUCAAGUCACAUCUGCGCUGGAGCUUCAGUA